AAACUGGAAUGGCUCAUUAAAUCAGUUAUAGUUUAUUUGAUAGUACCUUCUACCUGGAUAACCGUGGUAAUUCUAGAGCUAAUACAUGCUAAAAACCUCGACUCACGAAGAGGUGUAUUUAUUAGAUAAAAAACCAAUGCCCUCCGGGGCUCAGUGGUGAUUCAUGAUAACUUAACGAAUCGCAUGGCCUUGCGCCGGCGAUGGUUCAUUCAAAUUUCUGCCCUAUCAACUUUCGAUGGUAGGAUAGUGGCCUACCAUGGUUUCAACGGGUAACGGGGAAUUAGGGUUCGAUUCCGGAGAGGGAGCCUGAGAAACGGCUACCACAUCCAAGGAAGGCAGCAGGCGCGCAAAUUACCCAAUUCUGAUACAGAGAGGUAGUGACGAUAAAUACCGAUACAGGGCUCUUUCGGGUCUUGUAAUUGGAAUGAGUACAAUCUAAAYCCCUUAACGAGGAACAAUUGGAGGGCAAGUCUGGUGCCAGCAGCCGCGGUAAUUCCAGCUCCAAUAGCGUAUAUUAAAGUUGUUGCAGUUAAAAAGCUCGUAGUUGAACCUUGGGCCUGGCCGAUCUGUCUUCCUAACCGUUGUACGGAUUCGGUCGGGCCUUUCCUUCUGGGGAGCCCCAUGUCCUUCACUGGGCGUGGUGGGGAACCAGGACUUUUACCUUGAAAAAAUUAGAGUGUUCAAAGCAGGCCUUUGCUCGAAUACAUUAGCAUGGAAUAAUGGAAUAGGACAGCAGUUCUAUUUUGUUGGUUUCUAGGACCGCUGUAAUGAUUAAUAGGGAUAGUCGGGGGCGUCAGUAUUCAAUUGUCAGAGGUGAAAUUCUUGGAUUUAUUGAAGACUAACUAUUGCGAAAGCAUUCGCCAAGGAUGUUUUCAUUAAUCAGUGAACGAAAGUUAGGGGAUCGAAGACGAUCAGAUACCGUCGUAGUCUUAACCAUAAACUAUGCCGACUAGGGAUUGGACGGUGUUUCUUUUAUGACCCGUUCAGCACCUUACGAGAAAUCAAAGUUUUUGGGCUCUGGGGGGAGUAUGGUCGCAAGGCUGAAACUUAAA
rnacentral:rRNA from 1 species